rnacentral:rRNA from 1 species
GAUGAACGCUGGCGGCGUGCCUAAUACAUGCAAGUCGAACGGGCUCUUCGGAGCUAGUGGCGGACGGGUGAGUAACACGUUGGUACCUACCCCGAAGUGGGGAAUAACUGCCCGAAAGGGUGGCUAAUACCGCAUAAUACCGCAAGGUUAAAGCAGUAAUGCGCUUCGGGAGGGGGCCUGCGUCCCAUUAGCUAGUUGGCGGGGUAAAUGCCCACCAAGGCGACGAUGGGUAGCUGGAUCGAGAGGUUGACCAGCCACACUGGGACUGAGAUACGGCCCAGACUCCUACGGGAGGCAGCCUGAGACGCCAAGGCACACAGGGGAUAGG